rnacentral:rRNA from 1 species
UACGUAGGGGGCGAGCGUUGUCCGGAUUCAUUGGGCGUAAAGAGCUCGUAGGCGGCUUGGCAAGCCGGGUGUGAAAACUCCAGGCUCAACCUGGAGACGCCACCCGGGACUGCUAUGGCUAGAGUCCGGUAGGGGAUCACGGAAUUCCUGGUGUAGCGGUGAAAUGCGCAGAUAUCAGGAGGAACACCGGUGGCGAAGGCGCACACCUGGCCCGAUACUGACGCUGAGGCGCGAAAGCUAGGGGAGCAAACGGG